rnacentral:rRNA from 1 species
UGGGGAAUUUUGGACAAUGGGCGCAAGCCUGAUCCAGCCAUGCCGCGUGCGGGAAGAGGGCCUUCGGGUUGUAAACCGCUUUUGUCAGGGAAGAAAUCUUCUGAGUUAAUACCUCGGGAGGAUGACGGUACCUGAAGAAUAAGCACCGGCUAACUACGUGCCAGCAGCCGCGGUAAUACGUAGGGUGCAAGCGUUAAUCGGAAUUACUGGGCGUAAAGCGUGCGCAGGCGGUUUUGUAAGACAGAGGUGAAAUCCCCGGGCUCAACCUGGGAACUGCCUUUGUGACUGCAAGGCUUGAGUGCGGCAGAGGGGGAUGGAAUUCCGCGUGUAGCAGUGAAAUGCGUAGAUAUGCGGAGGAACACCGAUGGCGAAGGCAAUCCCCUGGGCCUGCACUGACGCUCAUGCACGAAAGCGUGGGGAGCAAACAGGAUUAGAUACCCUGGUAGUCCACGCCCUAAACGAUGUCAACUGGUUGUUGGGAAGGUUCCUUCUCAGUAACGUAGCUAACGCGUGAAGUUGACCGCCUGGGGAGUACGGCCGCAAGGUUGAAAC